CCUACGGGGGGCAGCAGUGAGGAAUAUUGGUCAAUGGGCGGGAGCCUGAACCAGCCAAGUCGCGUGAGGGAAGAAGGUACUGAGUAUUGUAAACCUCUUUUGCCAGGGGACAAAGGCGGCCACGGGUGGCCGUAAGAGGGUACCUGGAGAAAAAGCAUCGGCUAACUCCGUGCCAGCAGCCGCGGUAAUACGGAGGAUGCGAGCGUUAUCCGGAUUUAUUGGGUUUAAAGGGUGCGUAGGCGGCAUUAUAAGUUAGUGGUAAAAUAUUGGGGCUUCACCUCACUACGCCAUUAAUACUGUAGAGC
rnacentral:rRNA from 1 species